UACGUAGGGGGCAAGCGUUGUCCGGAUUUAUUGGGCGUAAAGAGCGUGUAGGCGGCCAUGCAGGUCCGUUGUGAAAACUCGAGGCUCAACCUCGAGACGCCGAUGGAAACCAUGUGGCUAGAGUCCGGAAGAGGAGAGUGGAAUUCCUGGUGUAGCGGUGAAAUGCGCAGAUAUCAGGAAGAACACCCGUGGCUAAGGCGGCUCUCUAGUACGGUACUGACGCUGAGACGCGAAAGCGUGGGGAGCAAACAGG
rnacentral:rRNA from 1 species